GUUAAUCGCGGUUAUGAUGGGUGCUUUUGUCCUUGUGCGUAUGGUGACCGAGCCUGAAUGACUUCUGAGGCCACAGAUGGAACGGACGAUGGGCAGCUUUGUUUACCUUCAAGACCGAGUGGUGCUGUGGGUUUGCUGAAAGCAACAGCAGGACAGAAAAUAUGGGAUGUGGGCCUUGGAAGGACCAGCUGAUGAAAAAAUCAACGCCUGUGCUGCACAGUAAGGCUUCUGGCAGACCUGAAAGCAUCGAUAGAUAUGGUACCUGCCUGUUGGAAUUGCACCAGCUCGCUUCCCUGAAAGAAGCUAGGUGCUGAAGAAGUACUUGACUAACCUACCCGCAUUGUCAUUGUGACAGUCUGCAUCACCAUUCGGCCUAUUUUGGGAUCCCACAAGACACGCUGCUACCCUGGGUGUUGUACCUCGGUCAAUUGCUGAAGUUCUGCAAGCCCCAUUGAAGCCAACAGUCAUCCGCAUCCAAUGGAAGAAAU